GCGGCAGCCAGCCCAGUUCCUUGUGUGCCCUUGUCGCUCGGACGGCGGGUGGGGCUGAAGGCGUUACCAGGCGGGAGCCGCCGGCCCCGGAGCACGCGCCUGCAGAGGGGGAAGAACUUGGUCCGCUGGCUUUCUGAGGAUGAAGACGAAGCUACAGAGAGGUUCCAGCCUGUACCAUGUGGCAGUGAGAAGGAACUGGAGAGGCGGUUGGUCCACCCCGCUCUUUAUCCCCUCAGUCAGAGGCACAAGAUAAACAGUGUUCAACACCUGAAGAUCUAGAAUGGGGCGAUGCCCUCUGCCCUUCUUCAGGAUAAGGAAGUAAGAAAAUGAAUUCCUUCAUAAAAACCAACCCACCAUGUAGACGGACAACAAAGGGAAAAUUUAACUACUGAAAUAUCAUUCAAAUACCAGGAAUAACAAUCUAUUCCAACAGAAGGCUACCCUCUGCACAUAUUCGAUUUUACAAAAUACAGAACCGCAAUUCAAAUAUCUCCCACGUGUCUUAAUCAACAGGUAUGUAUGUUUGCAAACACACACACCUCCAAAACCUAACUGUAUAAACUACUAUAAAGAUAUCUGCUCUUAUAAUGGAACAGCACUUGCAUCCUUUAAGAUCCAGAGCCAGUCCCGUUUCCCAGCAAUGAUGGGAGGAACUAAUUUGCACAGAACUAUUGAAGCCUCACUCAAAUGCAGGCAAUCAUUUAGCUGGAGCUGCUCAAUCUCAAGUCCAAGUUUGUAUUCUCGGUGGCUUUAUCAUAUGUUAGGUAACUUAUGUUGUCUAUCAAAAUGCUUUUACUUUUGUAAGUUGUUUGUUUUUAGGCUGCACUGUAAUUGAGAUACUAAUAUAUCUGAAAAAUACUCAAAUAAAACAGAGUAUAACUGGU